rnacentral:ncRNA from 1 species
UUCCGCGAGGUACGCUCUGAAGGAAGCCGCCCGCUCUCUCGAUUAAAAAAGGGCGAGCUGAUGAACAAAUUCCUCUAUGAGGUGUAGGGGCAAGGCGAGUGGGAACAAGACGAUGAAGCCAAGUGAUUUAAGAACCACUAAAUGAUGCAGUUGUGCUGUGAAAGUUCAU